rnacentral:rRNA from 1 species
ACGAACGCUGGCGGCACGCUUAACACAUGCAAGUCGAACGAGAGAAGAGGAGCUUGCUUUUCUGAUCUAGUGGCGGACGGGUGAGUAACACGUGAGCAAUCUGCCUUUCAGAGGGGGAUACCGAUUGGAAACGAUCGUUAAUACCGCAUAACAUAAUUGAACCGCAUGAUUUGAUUAUCAAAGAUUUAUCGCUGAAAGAUGAGCUCGCGUCUGAUUAGCUAGUUGGUAAGGUAACGGCUUACCAAGGCGACGAUCAGUAGCCGGACUGAGAGGUUGAUCGGCCACAUUGGGACUGAGACACGGCCCAGACUCCUACGGGAGGCAGCAGUGGGGAAUAUUGCACAAUGGAGGAAACUCUGAUGCAGCGAUGCCGCGUGAGGGAAGAAGGUUUUAGGAUUGUAAACCUCUGUCUUCAGGGACGAAAAAAGACGGUACCUGAGGAGGAAGCUCCGGCUAACUACGUGCCAGCAGCCGCGGUAAUACGUAGGGAGCGAGCGUUGUCCGGAAUUACUGGGUGUAAAGGGAGCGUAGGCGGGAUCGCAAGUCAGAUGUGAAAACUAUGGGCUUAACCCAUAAACUGCAUUUGAAACUGUGGUUCUUGAGUGAAGUAGAGGUAAGCGGAAUUCCUAGUGUAGCGGUGAAAUGCGUAGAUAUUAGGAGGAACAUCAGUGGCGAAGGCGGCUUACUGGGCUUUAACUGACGCUGAGGCUCGAAAGCGUGGGGAGCAAACAGGAUUAGAUACCCUGGUAGUCCACGCCGUAAACGAUGAUUACUAGGUGUGGGGGGACUGACCCCUUCCGUGCCGCAGCAAACGCAAUAAGUAAUCCACCUGGGGAGUACGACCGCAAGGUUGAAACUCAAAGGAAUUGACGGGGGCCCGCACAAGCAGAGGAGUAUGUGGAUUAAUUCGAAGCAACGCGAAGAACCUUACCAGGUCUUGACAUCGUAUGCAUAGCUCAGAGAUGAGUGAAAUCUCUUCGGAGACAUAUAGACAGGUGGUGCAUGGUUGUCGUCAGCUCGUGUCGUGAGAUGUUGGGUUAAGUCCCGCAACGAGCGCAACCCUUACUGUUAGUUGCUACGCAAGAGCACUCUAGCAGGACUGCCGUUGACAAAACGGAGGAAGGUGGGGAUGACGUCAAAUCAUCAUGCCCCUUAUGACCUGGGCCUCACACGUACUACAAUGGCUGUCAACAGAGGGAAGCAAAGCCGCGAGGUGGAGCAAACCCCUAAAAGCAGUCUUAGUUCGGAUUGUAGGCUGCAACCCGCCUACAUGAAGUCGGAAUUGCUAGUAAUCGCAGAUCAGCAUGCUGCGGUGAAUACGUUCCCGGGCCUUGUACACACCGCCCGUCACGCCAUGGGAGUCGGUAACACCCGAAGCCUGUAGUCUAACCGCAAGGAGGACGCAGUCGAAGGUGGGAUUGAUGACUGGGGUG